AUUGAACGCUGGCGGCAGGCCUAACACAUGCAGGUCGAGCGGAUGAAGGGAGCUUGCUCCUGGAUUCAGCGGCGGACGGGUGAGUAAUGCCUAGGAAUCUGCCUGGUAGUGGGGGAUAACGUCCGGAAACGGGCGCUAAUACCGCAUACGUCCUGAGGGAGAAAGUGGGGGAUCUUCGGACCUCACGCUAUCAGAUGAGCCUAGGUCGGAUUAGCUAGUUGGUGGGGUAAAGGCCUACCAAGGCGACGAUCCGUAACUGGUCUGAGAGGAUGAUCAGUCACACUGGAACUGAGACACGGUCCAGACUCCUACGGGAGGCAGCAGUGGGGAAUAUUGGACAAUGGGCGAAAGCCUGAGCCAGCCAUGCCGCGUGUGUGAAGAAGGUCUUCGGAUUGUAAAGCACUUUAAGUUGGGAGGAAGGGCAGUAAGUUAAUACCUUGCUGUUUUGACGUUACCAACAGAAUAAGCACCGGCUAACUUCGU
rnacentral:rRNA from 1 species